AAACUUAAAGGAAUUGACGGGGGCCCGCACAAGCGGAGGAACAUGUGGUUUAAUUCGAUGAUACGCGAGGAACCUUACCUGGGCUUAAAUGGGGAGUGACAGCUGUCGAAAGAUGGUUUUCUUCGGACACUCUUCAAGGUGCUGCAUGGUUGUCGUCAGCUCGUGCCGUGAGGUGUCGGGUUAAGUCCCAUAACGAGCGCAACCCUUACCGUUAGUUACCAUCAGGUUAAGCUGGGGACUCUAGCGGGACUGCCACCGUAAGGUGAGAGGAAGUGGGGAUGACGUCAAAUCAGCACGGCCCUUAUGUCCAGGGCUACACACGUGUUACAAUGGCCAGUACAAAGGGCAGCUACCGGGUGACCGGAUGCUAAUCUCUAAAGCUGGUCUCAGUUCGGAUCGAGGUCUGCAACCCGACUUCGUGAAGCUGGAUUCGCUAGUAAUCGCGCAUCAGCCAUGGCGCGGUGAAUACGUUCCCGGGCCUU
rnacentral:rRNA from 1 species